rnacentral:lncRNA from 1 species
GGAGCUGGAGCUCAGCCUCUUGCGCGCAAGCACCAGGCACAACAGCACAACGGACACCCAGAAGCAUGCUGAUGAGAGGGAAGCGGGCCGCAGGAAAAGCUACCCAACUAUAAAUUCGGCCUCCAGUGGAGGAAAGGGGAUGAGGAAACUGAGACUCAGAGCCAUUGACUGCUUGUCCAGAGCAAUCAGGGGAGGCAAGAUCUGAACACCUGCUGCCAGGAGGAUCCUGUGAGCUUCUCCUCACCUGGAGAUCAUUCUUCACCUGCCGUGAACAAGAACUUGGAGUCCAGUAUCAUCUUUCCGGUGCCAGAAGGAUGGAGAGAGAGAUCAACAGGUGAACAGAUGAACAGAUAGGUGGAUAGGAAGGCCGCAGGCUCUAAGAAGUGGUGGAUCGCUGCUAUCAAGGAGCCGCCUCAAGCAGGGAUGGCCUGGGGCAGAAGAUGCUAAGGGAAGGAUGGGGUGGGGGGGCUGGAAGGGGGGGUUCUCUCCACCCCCUUCACCACUUUAGCCAGACCGCCUCCUCCUCUACGUCGGAUUAUAAAUUGAUUUUAUGAAC